AGUGAACGCUGGCGGCAGGCCUAACACAUGCAAGUCGAACGGCAGCACAAGAGAGCUUGCUCUCUGGGUGGCGAGUGGCGGACGGGUGAGGAAUGCAUCGGAAUCUGCCCAUUUGUGGGGGAUAACCUCGGGAAACCGGGACUAAUACCGCAUACGACCUACGGGUGAAAGCAGGGGAUCUUCGGACCUUGCGCAGAUGGAUGAGCCGAUGCCGGAUUAGCUAGUUGGAGGGGUAAAGGCCCACCAAGGCGACGAUCCGUAGCUGGUCUGAGAGGAUGAUCAGCCACACUGGGACUGAGACACGGCCCAGACUCCUACGGGAGGCAGCAGUGGGGAAUAUUGGACAAAGGGCGCAAGCCUGAUCCAGCCAUGCCGCGUGUGUGAAGAAGGCCUUCGGGUUGUAAAGCACUUUUGUUGGGAAAGAAAAGCAGCCGGUUAAUACCCGGUUGUCAUGACGGUACCCAAAGAAUAAGUACCGGCUAACUUCGUG
rnacentral:rRNA from 1 species